rnacentral:rRNA from 1 species
AUUGAACGCUGGCGGCAGGCCUAACACAUGCAAGUCGAACGAGUGGCGGACGGGUGAGUAAUGUCUGGGAAACUGCCUGAUGGAGGGGGAUAACUACUGGAAACGGUAGCUAAUACCGCAUACCAUCGGAUGUACCCAGGGUGGAUGAGCUAGUAGGUGGGGUAAGGGCUCACCUAGGCGAAGAUCCCUAGCUGGUCUGAGAGGAUGACCAGCCACGCUGGAACUGAGACACGGUCCAUACUCCUACGGGAGGCGGCGGUGGGGAUGAGUGGACAAGGGGCGAAAGCCUGAGGCAGCCAUGCCGCGUGUAUGAAGAAGGCUUUCGGGUUGUAAAGUACGUUCAGCGGGGAGGCGUUACCCGGAUAAGAAGCACCGGCUAACUACGUGCCAGCAGCCGCGGUAAUAC